rnacentral:tRNA from 1 species
GGAAUAUGGCUCAAUUGGUAGAGUGAUUGCCUUGCAUGCACAAGGCCUUGUGUUCAAUCCCCAGCACCA